CAAUUUUACCACUAUCAACGACAUCCCAGGCUACACCAACAAAUGUUUCUGGUUCUUCGCUUUACCAAUUAUUGCUUUGUGUGCUGCAAGCAAAUAUCGAACAAAGGGACACUAUCUUGCUUUUAAUGAAACAUGUAACCGCUGGUGACUCUACAGUUGAUGGAGCAUCUAACCAAUCACCGGCUUCGGCAAUGGAG